ACAAGUGCGGAUCAAGUGGUUCA
rnacentral:siRNA from 1 species